CUGGUUGAUCCUGCCAGUAGUCAUAUGCUUGUCUCAAAGAUUAAGCCAUGCAUGUCUAAGUACAAGCCUCAGUAAGGUGAAACCGCGAAUGGCUCAUUAAAUCACACCUAAUCUACUGGAAAGCUACAAGUUACUUGGAUAACUGAGGUAAUUCUUGAGCUAAUACAUGCGAAAAAUCUCGACUCACGGAGAGAUGCUUUUAUUAGAUCAAAACCAAACGGCUUCGGCCGUAACAUUGGUGACUCUGAAUAACUUUGGGCUGAUCGUAUGGCCUUGUGCCGACGACGUUUCCUUCGAAGGG
rnacentral:rRNA from 1 species